CCUACGGGAGGCUGCAGUGAGGAAUAUUGGUCAAUGGGCUUACGCCUGAACCAGCCAAGUCGCGUGAGGGAAGACUGCCCUAUGGGUUUUAAACCUCUUUUGUCAGGGAGCAACGCCGGCUACGUGUAGCCGGACUGAGAGUACCUGCACAAAAAGCAUCGGCUAACUACGUGCCAGCAGCCGCGGUAAUACGGAGGAGGCGAGCGUUAUCCGGAUUUACUGGGUGUAAAGGGAACGUAGGCGGGAUGGCAAGUCUGAUGUGAAAACCCGGGGCUCAACCCCGGGACUGCAGUGGAUACUGUCAGGCUAGAGUGUCGGAGAGGCAAGUGGAAUUCCUAGUGUAGCGGUGAAAUGCGUAGAUAUUAGGAGGAACACCAGUGGCGAAGGCGGCUUGCUGGACGAAGACUGACGUUGAGGCUCGAAAGCGUGGGGAGCAAACAGGAUUAGAUACCCUUGUAGUC
rnacentral:rRNA from 1 species